UCCUACGUAAUAACCCUCUUCUCUCUUGUCUCCCUCACACCAGCCACGAAGGUUUUCAAAGGUGCUGAUAACAUAUCUGAAGCCAGUAAGACAGAAGUCUUUUCCUUGAUCUCUACAUCUGAACAAGAAUGAGGUUUAUUCUUCUUCUCAUCAAAAGAGAGACUGGAUAUAGGAGAAAGAAGAGGCAGAUGUUAAUCCUGUGAUUUGGCUUUGACCCAAACAUAGCAGGUCUGGCCAUUCUGAAAUGGAGUCUAUGCCCAGAAUACAUAAACGUGACAAGGGACAGCAUACUCUUCCAGCUAUUUGAGUCUCAAAUACACUGUCUGACACUUUUACAGGGAAGUCUCCAGAAGCAGAAGAAGGAGUUUGGGGGAGGAAAUAAGAAAGAGAACUUUUGAGACCCAAAGUCAAGCCAUUUAUUUCAUAGCCUCUUCUGCGUACCAAGCCCAGCAAUGAGACAGCCAAGCGGUGAUCUCACCUGCAGAACCUGCUGAGCCAGUCCAGUGAGCAAGUGAGUUCAUUCCUCAGGGUACAAGAAAUUCAUACAUAUGAACAAUCCUACCAUCUUUAGAUCUACUCCAGAGAGUUAGCUUCAUAAAGCUUCUCCCAACCCUGCUUUAUGGACCUGGUGCUGACCAUGACCUCCUUUCAACCUGUGGCGAACUGAAACUUCCUACGGUGUAUUGUGUUUCCUGUGUCUUCCACAAUUGACAUGAAAAUUGUACUAAAAAAAUCUAUGAUUUAAUGUCUGUCAUGGUAUAGAAGUAAGAAACCAUUAGUGUAUUUUUUCCCAAAGUUAUCUCUUUAUUGUUACAUCUUUAUGCUUCUCGUCAAGAAAAAAUUGUUUAUAGAAAGUCAUUAAGAAAUAUGAUUGUGUAAGUACUCUAAAGAAACUGAAUUGUGCAAGAGACUUUUCAAAGCACUUCUGCAAGCUUGCUGUGAGUUCUUUCCAUUUCGUGGUGUACUCUUGGGAAAACACUGUUUUGUCCAAAGUUUUUUAUUUUCCUAGGGUGUUCAUUCUCCUCUAAAUCUGGGGAAGAAUAAAAAUAAUUCUCCUAGCAAUGACUUUUUUUAAACUAAGUGUCAAAUAUGUAUUUUUUUCUUCUAGAUUCACUGUGACAGUGACAGAUAAAAUUAAAUAAGAGCUGAAUGCAUUAUCCUGUAAAUUGAGUAGAGAAGAACAAUCAAAUGAGAUAAAUUAGUCCAAAUACAUUGCUAUAAUUUUCCUUCAAGUCAGGAUAUGAGUUCCCUGAAUGAUUUAAAUAAUGUCCCCCAAUCCCACUUCCCUUUGUGAUGACAUAGUCUAUAUUUUCUUAUACAGGAAAUAUGACUCGAAAAUAUCUUAGAGUGCCAUGAAAGCUGAAGGACAAAGCUAAAAUCCACCUAAGAGCACACCAAACAGGAUCAACAAGAAUUGAAGAUGCCUGUCCUGUUUCAAAAGCAAGGGGAGGAGGUGGAUUUCGACUCUGUCUCAAUCAGUAGAUCUCCAUCCCUAACCACCACUUCCAUGGGCUCCCCUAACUUUAAAGAGCUCUUCUUUAGUCUACAACGGACUGGGGGGAAGGGAGUCCAAGCUAAGGAAUGCUAGAAGAAACAUGUGAAACAAACUCAUUUGUAAGCAAGCAAUUGCCUUCCCUUAAAAACUGCCUUCCUCUGCACUAUGAACCAAUAAAUGAUCUUGUAAAUGAGA